GCCAAGACUAUAAGCCCAAUCACCAAACCAAAUAUCAAUAAUAACCUAAAACAAACCAUUUGACUAUAAAAGUAUUUGAGAAAGAACCUAUAAUUUGGCGCAAUACUUAACCGUAAGGGUUUAUUGAAAGAAAAAUGAAAAAUUCAAGCACAGUAAAGCAAAGAUCUACCCUUGUACCUUUUGCAUCAUGGUUUAGCAAGAAAAACCAGACAAAGCGCCCUUAAGCCUGUCCCCCCGAAACUAUGUGAGNUACUUUAGGCAAUACCAGAUC
rnacentral:rRNA from 1 species